rnacentral:lncRNA from 13 species
CUCGUCUUCUGCCCCACUACACUCCACAGGCAGGGACUGCCCCACCCACCUUAGUAACCACCACGAUUAGCACAGGAACACAGUAGGCUCUCCAUAAGUGCCGGAUUGGAGGAUGGAUGCAUGGGAAAAUGGGCAGGCACAAGGCAACCUGAAGCCACUAAAAUGCUAAAGGGAAGGAGUCAACAUUCAUCUUGAUGCUUUCAGUAUCUGCUCUCAUGAAGCGGCAGCUAAGAAGCUGGCAUUUCCUCUUUUUUGCCUGCAUGUCCAAAGGAUUUUUUUCUUUUCCUUUGAAGUCGAG